UACGUAGGGCGCAAGCGUUGUCCGGAAUUAUUGGGCGUAAAGAGCUCGUAGGCGGUUUGUCGCGUCUGCUGUGAAAUCCCGAGGCUCAACCUCGGGCUUGCAGUGGGUACGGGCAGACUAGAGUGCGGUAGGGGAGACUGGAAUUCCUGGUGUAGCGGUGGAAUGCGCAGAUAUCAGGAGGAACACCGAUGGCGAAGGCAGGUCUCUGGGCCGCAACUGACGCUGAGGAGCGAAAGUAUGGGGAGCGAACAGG
rnacentral:rRNA from 1 species